rnacentral:rRNA from 1 species
CCUACGGGAGGCUGCAGUGGGGGAUAUUGCACAAUGGGGGAAACCCUGAUGCAGCGACGCCGCGUGGGUGAAGAAGUAUUUCGGUAUGUAAAGCCCUAUCAGCAGGGAAGAAAGAAGACGGUACCUGACUAAGAAGCCCCGGCUAACUACGUGCCAGCAGCAGCGGUAAUACGUAGGGGGCGAGCGUUAUCCGGAUUCACUGGGUGUAAAGGGAGCGUAGACGGCCGUGCAAGCCAGGAGUGAAAGCCCGGGGCCCAACCCCGGGACUGCUCUUGGAACUGUGCGGCUGGAGUGCGGGAGGGGCAGGCGGAAUUCCUGGUGUAGCGGUGAAAUGCGUAGAUAUCAGGAGGAACACCGGCGGCGAAGGCGGCCUGCUGGACCGCGACUGACGUUGAGGCUCGAAAGCGUGGGGAGCGAACAGGAUUAGAUACCCGAGUAGUC